rnacentral:lncRNA from 1 species
UGUCUCCCCAGCUUCUGUGUCGUUGAACCCCCACCAGUUUGGGUCGUGAUGGAUGAGGGACCCCUCAAGCUGGCACAGGCCAAGCACCGGCGGGACCUGGAGGCGGAGCUUCGUGACCUCAGCAACCAGGUGGCAGCGCUGGGGCGGAGCCUGGCGCACGAGAGGGGGCGGAGCUUGGCAGAGGGCGGGGCCUUGAGAGCCCUCGAGAUCGCGGUGGGCGGAGCCAAAGCCCGAGUGGGCGGAGCCUUCCGGGCCCGGGAUCGAGCAUGGGAGCGGCUGAGGCAGCAGCAGGAGGCGGGGCGCGUGUUGUGGGCGGAGCUAGAGGCAGCACGCGCGGCGCGGGAAAGGGCGGAGCUCCGGGCGCAGGAGGCGGAGUCACAGUGCCGGGACAAGGAGGCGGAGCUGGAGCGACUGCGGCAGGCGCAGGAGCUGCAGCGGGCGCUGAUGGGCGCACAGGCACGAGCCCGGGCAGCGGCGGAGGCACGGGCACAGCUGGAGCGGGAGCAGCGGGGGCUGCAGGGGCGGCUGCAGCACCCUGGGGUGCCCCCGCACCCGGCUGAGGCCACCCUGCGUGCCCGCUGCUUCCACCUGCAGGAGCUGCUGCAGCGCGAGGCGGGGGCACGGGCGGCACUGGCGCGGGCAUCGCGGGCAGCAGGACGGCGGCUGCGGGUGCUGCUGGCGGAGGUGGAGGAGCAGCGGCUGCGGGGGGAGCGCUACCGCCUGCAGGCGGAAGCCACCGAGGCAGCGGAGCGUGCCCUCCGGGAGCAGGUGGCGGUGGUGGCAGCGGGGACAGCGCGUGCCCAUGCCCAGGGACACCGCCUGCGCCAGGCGCUGGAGGACAUCGGGGACGGCACCGCUGCCACCGCGUGCCACGUGGCCGCCCUGCGGGUCCGCCUCAGGUGUGACCCACUGACGCUGUCCCGCACCGUGCGCCGCAUGCUGCGGGGGGAGGACGAGGACAGUGAGGAGAGCGGGGACAGUGACAUCGGCGGGGGGCACGACACCAUCCCUGGGGAGCAGCCCUAAAAGGGACCCCCCUGGGGUCAGCUUCA